UACGUAGGGGGCAAGCGUUGUCCGGAUUUAUUGGGCGUAAAGAGCGUGUAGGCGGUUAGGUAGGUCCGUUGUGAAAACUCGAGGCUCAACCUCGAGACGCCGAUGGAAACCAUCUGACUAGAGUCCGGAAGAGGAGAGUGGAAUUCCUGGUGUAGCGGUGAAAUGCGCAGAUAUCAGGAAGAACACCCGUGGCUAAGGCGGCUCUCUAGUACGUGACUGACGCUGAGACGCGAAAGCGUGGGGAUCGAACAGG
rnacentral:rRNA from 1 species